GACCUAUUCCCCAUCCUUCCAUCUAUUCCCCGCACGCACCUCCUCCGUGGCCGCGUUCGCCGCCUACGUCGCCACUCGCCAUCCCUCCUCGGUCGUCGCCUCCGUCGGCCGCCUCCUCACGCCGGCCGCCGCCUACGCCACGCCGCCUCGGCCGCCGCCAACCAGCCUCCGUCACCUCCUCUCCCGGCCACCCACGCGGGAGGACGCGUACGCCGCCCUCGGUCGCCCACGCCGGAGGACGCGUACACCGCCGCCUCGUCCAUCUCCUUCGUUCGACGCCUCCGUCGCCCACGCUGGCCGCCGCCUACGCCACCCCGCCUCGGCCGCGGCAACCAGCCUCGUGGCGGCUCAGAUCCUGCUUCCGCAUAGAAUCUCCUCGGCUCGACAUCCUCGCAUCUAUUCUCCAUUUCUCCUCCAGACCCACCUCCUCCAUCGCCGCCUCCGUCUCCCGCUUAGGCCGCCGCUUCCGUCGCCCACGCCGUCGCCGCAUGCCGCCUAUGCCGACGCCUCGGCCACCGCCGAGGUUUUGCCGCCUCCAUCGGCCACGCCAGACGCCGACGUCUCGACCGCCGCCUCCGUCGCCCACGUCGGCACGCCGGCCGCCUGCAUGCUGCAGUUGUGCUCGCCUUCUUUUAAAGCGCCCGAGCUCUCCUGCCGCGAGAGGCAAACUUUGUCACGCCAAAGCUGCACACUGGGCGGCAAGCUGAUCCCUCUCCUCUGCGUCCGUCACGGUGGAGAGGCUAGGUUUGUUCAAGUACUUGGCAAAAAAUCUCUUCGUUUUUUUUCUUGUUUCGUCGCUGUCGCAAGUGACGACGAUGCUGUUUGCGAGGGAUGAAGCAGAUUAGAUUUGUCCCCGGGGUUUUGCCGGUUCGAUCUCAUGUCGAGAUUUUUUUUUUCUCUUUUGGGAUUUUGGCUGCUUCUUUUGAUUAUUUCUGUUGGGGCGGGAUCGGGAAGAGUGUUAUUGAGGUUAUUCUCGGUGAUUGUUGAUCUCUUGGCGGUAUAUUUGGUUAAUUCCCUCUCACGCAAGCGUGUUUGGGGCGAGCAUUGAGGCGCCCCUUUUUUGCUUUAGGACAGCAGAGAGCUUUCAGUAGUUGCUAUUCUGCCGUCGCCGCCGCACUUUCGCUUUAGCGCUAGGUGAAUCGCAAGUGAUAGCUUUCAUGCUUUAUUACGAUCUUGCUUUGCGCAUCUCCUGCCUUGAUUGAGGAGGUGUGCUGUUCAAGUUUCCGUGGCAUGUGUAACAGGAACAUUUUUUAGAUUUUUCCAAUGGCUGACAACAUGAGUGGAUGAUGAGCCAGGUAGGACUGACUACCAAUUGUUUGAUGAUAUGCUUUCUUAUAUAUAUAUUGCUGCAUAGAAAAUGAGAACAAUCCAGGUAAUUUCACCAGUAUUGCAUUCCAGUCCCUUUUGCAGCUUGCUUUCACUACAUUAGUAUACCCUGCACUGAUUUUGGGAUACAUGGGCCAAGCUGCGUAUUUAUCGCAACACCAUGCUCUGGACUCAACAUACCAAAUUGGGUACUACUAUCUCCGUUUCAUAAUAAAGUGUAAGGUAGCAUGUGCUUGUGCUGGCGAUUUUGGCAUCUGUUUAUGGAAGCCAAGCAAUCAUCAGUGGAACAUUCUCCAUCAUCAAUCAGAGCCAGUCCCUCAGUUGCUUCCCAAGAGUGAAAGUCAUGCACACAUUUGAGAAAAUCUAUGGCUAGAUUUACAUCCCUGAGAUCACCUGGUUGCUCAUGGUCCUCUGCAUUGCUGGGACUGUCGGAUUUCAUGAUACCAAGCAUAUGGGAAAUGCAUCUGGUACCCAAACCUGAAGACUGUUAUUGAAUUAAUCUACAAGAGGGGUAAACAAGCAGAGGAUUCCAAUCUAGGACAACAAAGUCAUUGAGGAGGGCUUGGGGAAGCACGACAUCAUCUGCAUCGAGGAUCUUGUCCACAAGAUCAUGACUGUUGGGCCACAUUCAAGGAGGCAAACAACUUCCAGUUGCCCUUCAAGCUGAAGGCGCCACUUGGUGGCCUCAAGAAGAAGAGGAACUACUAUAUGUCAAGGGUGGUGAUGCUGGCAACCGUGUGAGGAUUAAUUACAUCAAUGAGCUCAUCAGGAGGAUGAACUAGGCUUCUCUGUUCCCAGGGAAAAUGUUUCUAUGUAUGCAAACAUGGUUUUAUUUUUACCUUUAGGUUGUCUUGAGUUGGAUACUGGAUAUGCAAUUUUGGGGUUCCAAACAGGAGUUAAGACUUUGCCUGUGUUGACAGUGAGACUUCCGGUGGGAAAUCUGUACCCGUUUGCCUAGGGGUUUGGUCCUGUCUGGAUGCUGUUAUUUCUUGGGAUGUUCAAUUUUGUUUAUAUUUGUCUUUCAUCUUCAGGGAGACAAUCGAAUAAAAUGAUCGUUGGUCACAUGACAUACAUUACAAAUGGUUCUAUUUUCAUGGUUUAGUUUGGUUUUGCAGGCUGAUACACCAGGUCCGACAUCGCUUGUACACCAGUUUCUUUUUUGAGCUAUGUACAUGUUAAGCUUAAGUGCUUAACUAUUCACUGCUAUGGCUAUGGCAAAGUUGAUCCACGAGGAUCUGAACAAAGGUUGCUGACAAAUUGGAUGCUUCUAACAAAUGGUGGUCCAUGUUCAUAUUGAACCGUAAUUCUGAAUCUGAAAAUUCUUGCAAACCAACGAAUGGAUGCACCGAAUUAGGAAUCAUCUUUUUGUCUCAAAUAAGAAUUCCAUUAAUUCUAAGGUCCAUUCAGCAGGUAAUAUCCUGUUGCGGAGCUAACAACCCAAGAUCUGACUUCCUCUCAACUAGCCUCCGUCAACCUCCAACUCAAAAGAGUAUAUAUAAAUGGGAAGUACUACUUUUGAAAAGUAUAUAAUUUUGAGCAUUGAUUUCCAAGUGCUUGUAAAUCAAGAGUGCUGUUUUCAGGAGAUAUAGAUAUUCAAUCACUGCUCUCCAAGUAUAUAGAAAUCAAAAUCGAUGCUUUGCAAUUGUAGAGAGAUUAGGUGUUCUGGUGUUGUGUGUUGCUAUGUUGCAACUUUUGCAGUCAGUGUACUGUAUCAUGCCUUGCGAUCGAAUUAUUU